rnacentral:sRNA from 1 species
CGCGCUAGAAGCGUGCCCACGGUGGGAGC